AGCCAGACUCCUACGGGAGGCAGCAGUGGGGGAUAUUGGACAAUGGGGGGAACCCUGAUCCAGCGACGCCGCGUGAGUGAAGAAGUAUUUCGGUAUGUAAAGCUCUGUCAGCAGGGAAGAAAGAAAUGACGGUACCUGACCAAGAAGCCCCGGCUAACUACGUGCCAGCAGCCGCGGUAAUACGUAGGGGGCAAGCGUUAUCCGGAAUUACUGGGUGUAAAGGGAGCGUAGACGGUUAAGUAAGUCUGGAGUGAAAGGCCGGGGCCCAACCCCGGGACUGCUCUGGAAACUGGCAGGCUGGAGUGCCGGAGAGGCAGGCGGAAUUCCUAGUGUAGCGGUGAAAUGCGUAGAUAUUAGGAGGAACACCAGUGGCGAAGGCGGCCUGCUGGACGGUGACUGACGCUGAGGCUCGAAAGCGUGGGGAGCAAACAGGAUUAGAUACCCCCGUA
rnacentral:rRNA from 1 species